rnacentral:lncRNA from 1 species
CAGAAAACCCCCUUGUAAUAACUCGCUUUUUCACUUUCCCCCUUGACAUUUAAAAACCUACACUUUGCCCCCCUAUAAAAUAAAAAAUGUGCACUUCACCCCCUACCGUUAGGGUUCCGACAGGGUUCCGUUAAAAAAUAUAUUUUUAUGCCAAAAAUACCCCUCCGCCAUCUCCCUGUUGCUUCGACUCCCUCCCGCUCGCCACCUCGCCGCUGCCUCGCCGCGUCGCCGCCUCGCCGUCCUCCACUGCCUCGCCUUCACCCACAUCCCCUUCGCCAUCCUCCGUCGCCUCGCCUUCGCCUUCGCCUUCUUUGCCCUUCUCCUACUGUUGCCCACCUCGAUUUUCUCCUACUGUCGCCGAAAUUGAGGGCGGCGAGGGUGUAGGAGGAGAAGGAGAGCAGGUGGAGAAGGAAAUUGAGAGAAAUCGCGGCCGAUUGAGGUGGGAAUCGCGGCCGAACGAAGGGGUUGCUGAGGAAGAUGGGGAAGAAGA